AUUAUAGGAGCUGCUGACUGGGGACUCCAAGAGUGGCAGGGGCUCUGAGAAGAAAGAGUUCACUCUGGUUGGCGUGGCCUGGAAACAAAAUCACACACUAAUGAGAGUGACCUCUUAGCCAGGAACGCUUCUAUUAGUGAGUAUUUGCUAACAGAUCCUCAUAAGCUCCCUCGGAGGGAGGUUGCUCUUAGUCCCCCAGUGAACCCUUCCAGGGCGGAGGGGCCUUUGGAGAGAGGGAAUGGGCUGGGCAGAAGCCUGGGAGCCCCCGCCCGCUAGGGCAGCAGGGGGAGCCAGCCCAGGGGUCUGGGUCUGAUGCAGCAGCAGGAGCAGCAGCAAGAAGCCUGGAAGGCUCCUGGUGACCUAAUCUUUGCGGAAAAUGAAGCCUUUCCCUGGGAGGCCUCCCUGGAGCUGUGAUGGAGGCGUGGAGUCUGAGACCUGGGGAGCACGCGCUCGCUCGUAGGGUCUCCAUGGAGUAAGGCAGGUGCAUCACCUCCCAGGACUGGCCGCCUGUUUGCUGCAACGCAGCCAGAAAAUAUUCCUGGAUUUGGUGUGAGAUUGGCAUGCACGUGUGCCAAUUUGUAAAUACUUCUGGAAAAUGCCCUUCGCCCAAGAGGCACUUGGCGUUGCUCCUGCCUAGUGUGUGGUCGGCGGGCCUGGGGAAAGGCUGAAGGUGAGUGGAGCCAGGAAGCCACCUGGGACGAGGCAGCCGGAGGCUCUGCGCAGGAAGGGCGGUGGCCCAGAGGCCUUUCCUGGAGGCUACGGGGGGCACCCGCUCCCCAUCUGCUUGUGACUCCCCGAGUCACUCUGCCAAAUUUCUGGGUGGGGCCUCUUGCUCUGGCACUUCCCUCUCCAAACCUUGCACCCAGGCCUGCUCCCACGGCUGGCACUGCUGCAGGAGGGGGCCCCUGUGCUUGAGAUGGAGGCGCCUGUGAUAGAUGCUCACCCAAUGCUCAUGUUGUCCCAGGCAGCCUGGCAGCCAGGCUGGGCACUGGGCCCUAACCAUCCAACAAGUCAGAGCUGUUCAAAACGGGGCAGAGACCACGGGGCACAACCACCAUACAGGCAGGGGGCGGGAUGGGGAGAAACCUGCUGUUGGUGAUGUGUUUUGAGAAAACUGGAGAAAUUUGAAUGUUGGCUAUUAUGAAAGGUGAACAUUUAUUGACAUGGAAAGGUGGAUUAUUAACUGAAAAAGCAUUUAGAAAAGGAUGUAUGCUCUGAACUCAUUUUGGAGAAAAUACCCAUAGGCAUUAACAGUGAUAUGAACUGUGUACUGGGACAUUUUUUUCCCCCUUAUUUUUGUGGAUCUGUGUUUUCUCACACUUAAAAAAUUUCUUUGUCAACGUUUUGCAGCAUCUACAAUGCACAUACACCCCUUGUAUUAAAAGCGUCUUUUUAAUUAAAAUAUGUUUAGUAAAAACUGCUACCCUGCAAGAUAGCAACCCUGGGGCUGCCUGAGUCAUGAACGGAGCCAAGGUCAAAGAGGAUGGAAGAACCAGCCUCUCUGAGCCUUUGCACCCAGCCUCGGCUUAGAACCUGAACCCCAUCCGAGUUUGGUCCAGGAUCCAGGAAGUUCUGAUAACUGCAGAGUCAAAAACAGAGUUGACUCUGAGAUGAUGAGUGAUUAAUAUAUAUAUAUAUAUACAUAUAUAUAUAUAAAAAAGAAUCCCAGCCCGGGGGUUCUCUCCCGAUCCAGCCCAGGCAUGGUCCAAACCUCUCAGUGUAUGAAAAAGUCUAACUCCAUUUUAAUAGUGGGUUGGGUGGAAAAAAAAGCAGAAUUUGAAAGAUAAAGUUGUUAAACGUGAUUUUUUUUUUUUUUCCCUGCUUCUCACCGGGAGGGCCUGUGGGACCAUCCAGACCUACAUCGGAGCCCAAAGUGAUAAGGACACUGAGGGACAGAGGAUUUGGGAUCAGAGAGGCUGAGAUAAACCACAUUUACUGCCCUGGGAAACCCGUUUCUCUGGGCCUUGUUUCCUCUUUCAGGAGGGCGGAGAGGUUGCCGGGCCUCCCCUGGCAUGUGGACCUCUCACGAGAGACCAGCUGUUUGACGGUGGCUCAACCCUUCCGGGUCCUGCGUGGUGGGCGGCCGAGAUAGACGGUGGCCUGCCCAUUUAAUGGCAUCCAAUGGAUGGAACCACUGCUGGGCCCCUGUACCACCCCUGGCCAGGCCUCUCCUGGCACCAUUCCUUGACCUGGUUUUGCUACUGUCCUUCAGCCCAGCCCCAUUCCUUCCUGGGUCGCUCCUACACAGGGCUCUCUCCUCCGUGGGAGCGCUGCGGUGACAGGUCCCUGCUCCCCUGAGCUGCCUCCCCGAUGCAGUGGAGGUUCUGUGGGAGGGAGAAGGCAGAAGGUGGAGCAGGAAGGACGGUGUCCCCCCCGGCCAUUUCCCCAUGCCAUCCACUUCUGGAGAGGGGGACACAGCCCGUUCUGUCCUCAGGCUCUAUAAUCUAGCGAGGAACACAUCUAGAAAGGAUGCUAUUUGGAAAAAAUGUUUAUCGUCCAACAACUGCAAGGUUAAGGCCUUUCUUUCCCAGGACUGUUCCUUCUAGCUCAGCAGGUGAGCAGACACCUGCUCAGCUCCGGGCCACCAACUGGCUCAUCAUCCCACCGUUUCGGCCGGUUUAGGGCAAAGCUGAUCUAGCUCUCUUCCUGGCUGGAAGGUGUGGCCAGGGGGCAGAUCUGGGGCUGCCUGGCUGUGCUUGCCUUGGGCCCCGGCACCUGGCGGCAGGUGCAGAGCAGGUGGCGCUGUUUUUAUUUUUUGUUUAUUUUUGUCUUUCUGGGGCUGCACUCACGGC